GGGCUCGUAGCUCAGUUGGAUAGAGCGGCAGCCUCCUAAGCUGCAAGUCGCGGGUUCAAAUCCCGCCGGGCCCG
rnacentral:tRNA from 1 species